rnacentral:lncRNA from 1 species
CUGCUCUGCUCCUGCUCCUGCUGGGCCUGGCCUGGACCCAGGGGAGCCACGGCUGGGGUGCGGACGCGUCAUCACUGCAGAAACGUGCAGGCAGAGACGAUCAGAACUACAAUUACAACCAGCAUGCGUAUCCCACUGCCUAUGGUGGGAAGUACUCAGUCAAGACCCCUGCAAAGGCUUCCCGGGUGCAACCUGGCCUGCUGCAGUGGGUGAAGUUUUGGUAGGCAAUUUCUUGCAACCACCACCGAGGCCCCGAAAAGCACUGGUCGUC